GUCAGUGUCAUAUCUCCCUGCAGCUCUCACCUAGUUUCCCACUGAAGCUAAGCGGGGUUGAGCCUGGCCAGUACCUGGAUGGGAGACCUCCUGGGGAAAACUAAGGUUGUUGCUGGAA
rnacentral:rRNA from 1 species